rnacentral:rRNA from 1 species
ACGAACGCUGGCGGCAUGCCUAACACAUGCAAGUCGCACGAGACCUUCGGGUCUAGUGGCGCACGGGUGCGUAACGCGUGGGAAUCUGCCCUUGGGUUCGGAAUAACUUCGGGAAACUGCUGCUAAUACCGGAUGAUGACGUAAGUCCAAAGAUUUAUCGCCCAAGGAUGAGCUCGCGUAGGAUUAGCUAGUUGGUGAGGUAAAGGCUCACCAAGGCGACGAUCCUUAGCUGGUCUGAGAGGAUGAUCAGCCACACUGGGACUGAGACACGGCCCAGACUCCUACGGGAGGCAGCAGUGGGGAAUAUUGGACAAUGGGCGAAAGCCUGAUCCAGCAAUGCCGCGUGAGUGAAGAAGGCCUUAGGGUUGUAAAGCUCUUUUACCCGGGAUGAUAAUGACGGUACCGGGAGAAGAAGCUCCGGCUAACUCCGU